rnacentral:sRNA from 1 species
AAAAGAACUUUGGAGAGAGAGUUCAAUAGACCGUGAAACCGUUGGUAGGGAAGCUCAGGGUGUCGAGGUUGUCGUGCUUUGUCUGGGUUCAUCUGGUGGUGUUGCCGCCGCCGGUGCAUUUCCAGUCGAGGUUGGACCGUCAGUCGGGAAGACGCGGGAAUCUGGUUGUCGGUGUUGGGGAGGUAGGCCUUGCGGUUACUCUCGAGUGCCCAGGGUCACGUAUAGCCCUUCAUCGUGAUCUCCGUUGUCUUUCAGGUGCGUUGGAUGGCCGUUCGUCCAUUGUUGGUAGGUGCAGUCUCCCUUCGUGGGAGUUCGGGCCGGAUGCCGAGUCGCUUGGUGUUGCGUAGUUUGUGUUCCGUUCUCUCGCCGUUUGACUCGUUCGGCGGUGUAGGGUGCGGCACGGCACGUGACGUUCAGGUCCUCUGUAGUCGUGUCCAAGUUCUGUGCCGAGGUGACUGGCGAAGAGUCGUUACUCUGUGCCCCGUCUUG